rnacentral:misc_RNA from 1 species
UGGACAAGAAUAAGUUGUUGGUGGCCUACUUUGGUGGCUCUCAGGAAGGAGCUCCGGAUGUUCGAAUUUGGUUGCAGACUUACAUUGAUGGGUGUUGGCAACCCCCAUUGGUGGCUGAUGAAGAACCCGAGGUACCCAUGUGGAACCCCGUCCUUUUUAUGCUUCCUUCUGGAGAGAUACUGCUCUUCUACAAGAUUGGCCAGGAGGUACAGAAAUGGAGUGGGGCUAUGAAGCGUUCCAUUGAUGGUGGCUUAACUUGGUCCGAAAGAGAACAACUUCCGCCCGGAGUUCUUGGCCCAUCUAAGAAUAAGCCCCUGCUGAUGGGCGACGGCCGUCUGCUGUGUGGAUCCUCUGUAG